AGGGCCUUAGCUCAGUUGGUAGAGCGCCACCCUUACAAGGUGGAUGUCGUCGGUUCGACCCCGGCAGGCCCUACCA
rnacentral:tRNA from 1 species